rnacentral:rRNA from 1 species
GACGAACGCUGGCGGCGUGCCUAAUACAUGCAAGUAGGACGCAGUUGCGAACGGGUGAGUAACACGUAGGUAACUACCUAUUAGAGGGGGAUAACUAUCGGAAACGAUAGCUAAUACCGCAUACUAGUAGAUGGACCUGCGUUGUAUUCGCUAGUAGGUAGGGUAAUGGCCGACCUAGGCAACGAUACAUAGCCGACCUGAGAGGUGGAUCGGCCACAAUGGGACUGAGACACGGCCAAGACUCCCACGGGAGGCAGAAGUAGGGAAUCUUUGGCAAUGGGGGGAAGCCUUACCGAGCAACGCCGCGGGAGUGAAGAAGGUUUUCGGAUCGUAAAGCGCUGUUGUUAAGGAAGCGGUACUUAACCAGAAAGGGACGGCUAACUACGUGCCAGCAGCCGCGGUAAUAC